rnacentral:rRNA from 1 species
UAGGUUAACGAGGCGAACCGGGGGAACUGAAACAUCUAAGUACCCCGAGGAAAAGAAAUCAACCGAGAUUCCCCCAGUAGCGGCGAGCGAACGGGGAGCAGCCCAGAGUCUGAAUCAGCUUGUGUGUUAGUGGAACGGUCUGGAAAGUCCGACGGUACAGGGUGAUAGUCCCGUACACCAAAAUGCACAGGCUGUGAACUCGAAGAGUAGGGCGGGACACGUGGUAUCCUGUCUGAAUAUGGGGGGACCAUCCUCCAAGGCUAAAUACUCCUGACUGACCGAUAGUGAACCAGUACCGUGAGGGAAAGGCGAAAAGAACCCCGGCGAGGGGAGUGAAAAAGAACCUGAAACCGUGUACGUACAAGCAGUGGGAGCACCUUCGGGUGUGACUGCGUACCUUUUGUAUAAUGGGUCAGCGACUUAUAUUCUGUAGCAAGGUUAACCGUAUAGGGGAGCCGCAGGGAAACCGAGUCUUAACUGGGCGUUAAGUUGCAGGGUAUAGACCCGAAACCCGGUGAUCUAGCCAUGGGCAGGUUGAAGGUUGGGUAACACUAACUGGAGGACCGAACCGACUAAUGUUGAAAAAUUAGCGGAUGACUUGUGGCUGGGGGUGAAAGGCCAAUCAAACCGGGAGAUAGCUGGUUCUCCCCGAAAGCUAUUUAGGUAGCGCCUCGUGAACUCAUCUUCGGGGGUAGAGCACUGUUUCGGCUAGGGGGUCAUCCCGACUUACCAACCCGAUGCAAACUACGAAUACCGAAGAAUGUUAUCACGGGAGACACACGGCGGGUGCUAACGUCCGUCGUGAAGAGGGAAACAACCCAGACCGCCAGCUAAGGUCCCAAAGUCAUGGUUAAGUGGGAAACGAUGUGGGAAGGCACAGACAGCCAGGAUGUUGGCUUAGAAGCAGCCAUCAUUUAAAGAAAGCGUAAUAGCUCACUGGUCGAGUCGGCCUGCGCGGAAGAUGUAACGGGGCUAAACCAUGCACCGAAGCUGCGGCAGCGACACUAUGUGUUGUUGGGUAGGGGAGCGUUCUGUAAGCCUGCGAAGGUGUGCUGUGAGGCAUGCUGGAGGUAUCAGAAGUGCGAAUGCUGACAUAAGUAACGAUAAAGCGGGUGAAAAGCCCGCUCGCCGGAAGACCAAGGGUUCCUGUCCAACGUUAAUCGGGGCAGGGUGAGUCGACCCCUAAGGCGAGGCCGAAAGGCGUAGUCGAUGGGAAACAGGUUAAUAUUCCUGUACUUGGUGUUACUGCGAAGGGGGGACGGAGAAGGCUAUGUUAGCCGGGCGACGGUUGUCCCGGUUUAAGCAUGUAGGCUGGUUGUCCAGGCAAAUCCGGAUAAUCAAGGCUGAGGUGUGAUGACGAGGCACUACGGUGCUGAAGUAACAAAUGCCCUGCUUCCAGGAAAAG